UAAUAUAUUGGCGCCUUAUAGAAUUUUUCAUCUUCUCACAUAGAUACAUCGAUGGAUUCUGCUUCUCACAUAGAAAUUCGACUACCAAACCUCAUCCUACAUCACCUCACCUCAGCGUAGACCACCAACGCCGCUCGCCACCGCAACCGUUGCUCACCACAGCUAUCGUCUCAUUCUCACAGGUACUCUCUCACUCUCAGUCUGUCACUCUCUUACUCGCGGUCUGUCUUUCUCUCUGCUUCUCGCUCUGUCUACCUUGAUCACUCUUUCUCCCUCUCUAUCCCCCUUUCUCUAUUUCCCCCUUUCUGAAUCUUGCUCUAGGGUUGUUAUGAUUUGUUCAAUUUAAUUUGGCGUUGAUUGCAAAAAAUGGGUUUGGUUGAAGUGGUCUAUUUUUCCCUUUUUGAAUCUAUUGUUUCCCUCUUUAUAUUUAAUGUUUUUUUAUCAUCACUUUCUACAUCUAGCUUUGAUAUAUAAUGCUUGUGUUUGUUAUUGAAUUAGAUUCUAGCUGUAAUAAUUUUUUUGCUCUUUAGAAAUUGUUAUUUCACGAGUGAAGUAGACAUCAUCUUCAUUCCUUAUUGAAGCAGAUUUUUGCAGACAUUUUUUCUUAUGUAGUAAUUUUGACUACUCAAUUCUAUAGAGAGCUUAAGUGGUUAUUUGCAAAUCCUUGUGGUUGCAUAUAAAUAUACAUGUAUUGCUGUCAAUUGGUUUUCUUUCCUAUAUUUCAUUUGUGAAAUGCUGAAGAUUGCAAAAAGAUAUGCAUGUUUGGGUUGGUUGAAAAUUAUUUCCUGUGUCAAAAUGACUACUGGAUGGAGGAAUUGGGCUUCCGGCUUCCUCAAAGAAAAGGUCAGUUGACUCAACUUGAUGACAAAGUCAUUUGCAGCGUGUCAAUUGGUGUCAUUUUUUCAAAUUUUGUGAGUUUCUCCUCUAUUUUGCAGUAUAUCUAAUAGGUUUGUACAGUUAUGGAGAACUGUAGAUAAAAAGAAUGAUUGUUACUGUUUUGAUCUUUAAAUUUCAAUUGCUCAGUACAUGAAUGUGAUACAAUUGGUAAUUUUCUUCUUUAGGUAGUACCAGUUGUACACAAGUAUUAUAAUUAGUUCUAUGAUUUAACUGAUACAUUAUAUGAUUUUAGUUUAUGAGCUUAUUUCAAAUCAUAUAUUAUGCAUGAAUAGUGCAGAAUUUGAGGUGAAAGAUUUUUAUUUAUGUUGCAUCUUUGAGUUACUUUACCACAGGUCUAUGUUUGAGAACAUGCCCACCAAUUGUUUGGUUAAAUUUCUCAAUGCCUAUUAUCAUGUCAAACUAUCCUAUUAAAUAGCAUUGGGUCAACACUCUUGGGGGCAUAAACGAAAAGCUACUAUCAAAGAUAAAUGUGGAAACAAAAGAGCUUAUAAAAUGGAUGUUGAAGAAGAGGAUGAGGAGACAGAUGAUGAUGAGAAGGAGGAGGAGGAGGACAAACUUGAAGCAAAAGCUUUAAGAAAGAAAACAGAAAACGAAAAAAGGGAAAAAAACCACUAUUAUAUGUAUUUGUGGUUGUAAUUCAUUUGAUUAGUAACUUACAAAUUUCAUGUUUAUUAUUGAACAUCACUUUGAGCCAUCAGAAGUUGGUAUGCUAGCUAGGUGCUUGUGCGUUCCGCUUGUUUCAAUUCGUGUUGGGAAGAUCAACAAGCAAGGAACUCUCUUGUGCUCAACUGGUACAAGGUGGUCUCUCAGGUGGUCUAAUCCACUCUUCCAAUUCCAAGAAGCAUAAUGAGAUUUGAACAAGAUUAUCGGUGCAAGUAACAAGAAAAGGACAACUCAAAUGCUGCUCAAAGAGGAAAACUAUAACUAUAAUAACAAUGAGGUAAAGAUGCCUAAUGUGAGACCUGGUGAACGGCUGAAAGAUCUUGGUGUUUAUGAAGUGAUCACCUUGACUGAGCCAUAUGAGACUUUGGUUCCAACAUCUCUAUAUCAAGUGAGUUUUUGUUUUUGUUUUUGUUUUUGUUUUUUAACUUGUGCAUUUGUUUACAGCUUGGCAUGCUUUGUUAUCUAAAGUGCAUCUAUUUAUUUUACUAAGUGCACUAAUUAAAGGUUGCUUCUGAAGUGUAUUCAUUCCCAAACUUAUUUGAGAAAGUAAUUCUUUUUGGCCUUUCACUCCAUCUGGAAUCUUGAUGGGUAUUUCUGAUUUGUUGGAAUGUUAGCUUUACCAAAUAAGUCUAAGGGAGAUAAUUUUUAUUUAUUUUUUUAUUUCUUUGAUUGGUGGUCCGACAUAUGAAUGUUAUUGAGAUGCAUAAACUAUUUUACGUGGGGGUUCGAACGCGGUUACCAGACGGAUGAUUAAACAUCACAAACACUGAAAUAUGCACGUGGGUACCAAUUUGAAAACUACUUUAAAAUUUGCACUAUUCCAACAUGUAGGCAUGAAACUAAGUUGAAAAAUGCACUUUUCUCACACAGAAGCUUGAAAAUAGGCCAUAUGGGGGCAAAAUCGUGUAACAGUCACGAGAAGGCCUGAGGAACACCUCA